rnacentral:lncRNA from 1 species
AGGAAAUCUAUAGAAAUAAUAAUAUAAGGACUGAGAUUUUGGCAGUGCAACUUAACUCUCUAUUGACGAUAUUCCUGUGUGUAAUUUAAUUACAUAAGCAUUCGUCAAGUUUCAGGAGAAAAUGAGCUAAAAUGAAGAAGAUACGCGAUUAAUAGUUUUUACUUAAGUGAAUAAUAACUCCGGUUUUCCGGAGAAGACACGGAGUAGAGUUGGCUUUUGGCGCAUAUCAGACUCCCUUUAUAGCGAUUCAAUAGCUCGUUUCGAUCGGUUUAGCUAUUCUGGAACCAAUGGUACUGAAGAAUUUUAGAUCUGAUGCACGAUUUUCGAGAAAAAGGAGUUUUAUCAAAAAGAGGGUUU